rnacentral:rRNA from 1 species
GACGAACGCUGGCGGCGUGCCUAAUACAUGCAAGUCGAGCGGACUUAAAAAGCUUGCUUUUUAAGUUAGCGGCGGACGGGUGAGUAACACGUGGGCAACCUGCCUGUAAGACUGGGAUAACUUCGGGAAACCGGAGCUAAUACCGGAUAAUCCUUUUCUACUCAUGUAGAAAAGCUGAAAGACGGGUUACGCUGUCACUUACAGAUGGGCCCGCGGCGCAUUAGCUAGUUGGUGAGGUAACGGCUCACCAAGGCGACGAUGCGUAGCCGACCUGAGAGGGUGAUCGGCCACACUGGGACUGAGACACGGCCCAGACUCCUACGGGAGGCAGCAGUAGGGAAUCUUCCGCAAAGGACGAAAGUCUGACGGAGCAACGCCGCGUGAGUGAUGAAGGUUUUCGGAUCGUAAAACUCUGUUGUUAGGGAAGAACGAGUACGAGAGUAACUGCUCGUACCUUGACGGUACCUAACCAGAAAGCCACGGCUAACUACGUG